rnacentral:lncRNA from 1 species
CGAGCUUCUACAGUAAGCAGCCUUCUUUCGGACUCCUACAAGAACCAGACUCCGUCCAAACUUCUAUAAUAGAAUUGAAUUCUAGACUCCUCCAGCGAUCAACCUUCCAUAGUGUCCUCAAGACUCCUCCAGCGGAUGAACUUUCACAACGCCUUCCGAACUCCACUAUCGAUCGACCUUCUACUGGAUUCCUCAUGAAAUCAGGCUUCUCCAAUAGACAGUUCCCGUCCGAGCUUCUAUAGC